AUGCAGUCGAACGCGAAAGUUCCCUUCGGGGAGCGAGUAGAGUGGCGCACGGNCUGNUUAACACGNUAGGGUAAUUUGCCUUUGGGUGGGGAAUACCAACCGGAAACGGUUGUUAAUACCGCAUAAUGCAGCGGCAUCACAUGAUGACAGUUGUUAAAGCGGGGGAUUGGAGCAAUCCGACCUCGCGCCUGAAGAGAAGCCUGCGGCAGAUUAGGUAGUUGGUGAGGUAAUGGCUCACCAAGCCUGCGAUCUGUAACCGGCCUGAGAGGGCGGUCGGUCACACUGACACUGACAUACGGGUCAGACUCCUACGGGAGGCAGCAGUCGGGAAUUUUGGGCAAUGGGCGAAAGCCUGACCCAGCAACGCCGCGUGAAGGAUGAAAUUUUUCGGAAUGUAAACUUCGCAAGAAUGGGAAGAAUAAGUGGGGGACAAUACCCCCCAUGAUGACGGUACCAUUUGUAAGCUCCGGCUAACUUCGUGCCAGCAGCCGCGGUAAUACGAGGGGAGCAAACGUUGUUCGGAUUUACUGGGCGUAAAGGGCGCGUAGGCGGCUCUACAAGUCACUUGUGAAAUCUCCGGGCUUAACUCGGAACGGUCAAGUGAUACUGUCGAGCUAGAGUGCAGAAGGGGCAAUUGGAAUUCUCGGUGUAGCGGUGAAAUGCGUAGAUAUCGAGAGGAACACCAGANGCGAANGCGGAUUGCUGGGCUGACACUGACGCUGAGGCGCGAAAGCUAGGGGAGCGAACGGGAUUAGAUACCCCGGUAGUCCUAGCCUUAAACGAUGAAUGCUUGGUGUCUCNGGGUUACAUAGUCCCGGGGUGNCCGUCGCUAACGCUUUUANCAUUCCNCCUGGGGA
rnacentral:rRNA from 1 species